UACGUAGGGGGCUAGCGUUGUCCGGAAUCAUUGGGCGUGAAGCGCGCGUAGGCGGCCCGGUAAGUCCGUUGUGAAAGUCAAAGGCUCAACCUUUGAAAGCCGAUGGAUACUGCCGGGCUAGAGUCCGGAAGAGGCGAGUGGAAUUCCUGGUGUAGCGGUGGAAUGCGCAGAUAUCAGGAGGAACACCGAUAGCGAAGGCAGCUCGCUGGGACGGUACUGACGCUAAGGCGCGAAAGCGUGGGGAGCGAACAGG
rnacentral:rRNA from 1 species